UACGAAGGGGGCUAGCGUUGCUCGGAAUCACUGGGCGUAAAGGGUGCGUAGGCGGGUCUUUAAGUCAGGGGUGAAAUCCUGGAGCUCAACUCCAGAACUGCCUUUGAUACUGGCGACCUUGAGUCCGGGAGAGGUGAGUGGAACUGCGAGUGUAGAGGUGAAAUUCGUAGAUAUUCGCAAGAACACCAGUGGCGAAGGCGGCUCACUGGCCCGGUACUGACGCUGAGGUGCGAAAGCGUGGGGAGCAACAGGAGU
rnacentral:rRNA from 1 species